CCACAGGCUGGGAGGUGUGGGGAGACCAUUGUUUGGGGCCACAGGAAAAAGUCAAGAGUUGAGACCCCAGGUGGCCCAGACCUGGCAGGGACAGGCAGCAGCCUGGAGGUCAGUCUGGCUGCAGCAGAGAGCGGAAGGGGACAGGGUGGAAGAUGGGAGCAGGAGAGAGGUAGCCUGUGAGGCCUGCAGGCCAUUACUAGGACCUUUGACAUUGGCAGAAGGCAACCGACCACACAAAUCCAAGGAGAGAUGAUGCUGGUUUUCAAAGAACAGAGAAGUUGCAAGAGGCCUGAUAAACAAGAUUGACACCCCAGCGACAGAAUGGGAGAAAAACGUUUGGACCUCUUGUAACAGACAAAAGAUGAACAUGGCUAAUAAAAGAGCUCCUGAUAGAGAUGUAUAACUGAA